rnacentral:rRNA from 1 species
GAUGAACGCUGGCGGCGUGCCUAAUACAUGCAAGUAGAACGCUGAAGGAGGAGCUUGCUCUUCUGGAUGAGUUGCGAACGGGUGAGUAACGCGUAGGUAACCUGCCUGGUAGCGGGGGAUAACUAUUGGAAACGAUAGCUAAUACCGCAUGACAACAGUUAUUGCAUGAUAACUGUUUAAAAGGGGCAACUGCUCCGCUACCAGAUGGACCUGCGUUGUAUUAGCUAGUUGGUGAGGUAACGGCUCACCAAGGCGACGAUACAUAGCCGACCUGAGAGGGUGAUCGGCCACACUGGGACUGAGACACGGCCCAGACUCCUACGGGAGGCAGCAGUAGGGAAUCUUCGGCAAUGGACGGAAGUCUGACCGAGCAACGCCGCGUGAGUGAAGAAGGUUUUCGGAUCGUAAAGCUCUGUUGUAAGAGAAGAACGAGUGUGAGAGUGGAAAGUUCACACUGUGACGGUAUCUUACCAGAAAGGGACGGCUAACUACGUG